rfam:Otolemur garnettii contig090296, whole genome shotgun sequence.
GUUUAGAAUGUUCCGUGUGCUUGUAGUCCUAGCUACUCAAGAGGCUAAGACUAGAGGAUCGCUUGAGUCCAGGAGUUCUGGGCUGUAGUAUGCUAUGGCGAUCGGUUGUCUGCACUAAGUUCGGCAUCAGUAUGGUGACCUUCUGGGAGCAGGGGUCCACCACGUUGCCUAAGGAGGGGUGAACCGGAGCAGGUCAAAGCUCCCAUGCUGAUCAGUAGUGGGAUCGCGCCUGUGAAUAGCCACUGCAUUCCAGCCUGGGCAAUAUAGUGAGACCCUGUCUCUU